rnacentral:rRNA from 1 species
GAGAUAGGCUGAACUUAASCRWRYMWMWWAGCGGAGGAAARGAAACCAACAGGGAUUACCUCAGUAACGGCGAGUGAAGCGGUAACAGCUCAAAUUUGAAAUCUGGCUCCUCGGGGCCCGAAUUGUAAUUUGUAGAAGAUGCUUUGGGUCUGGGCCUGGCCUAAGUUCCUUGGAACAGGACGUCGUAGAGGGUGAGAAUCCCGUAUGCGGCUGGCGCCCGUGCCCGUGUAAAGCUCUUUCAACGAGUCGAGUUGUUUGGGAAUGCAGCUCUAAAUGGGUGGKAAAUUUCAUCUAAAGCUAAAUAUUGGCCAGAGACCGAUAGCGCACAAGUAGAGUGAUCGAAAGAUGAAAAGCACUUUGGAAAGAGAGUUAAACAGUACGUGAAAUUGUUGAAAGGGAAGCGCUGGCAACCAGACUUGGGCGCUGUUGAUCCGCUAGGGUUCUCUCUAGGGCACUCGGCAGUGCGCAGGCCAGCAUCGGUUUGGGGGGUUGGAGAAUGGCUGGUGGAAUGUGGCUGUCUUUGGGCAGUGUUAUAGCCACCGGUGGCAUGCAGCCUCCCCGGACCGAGGACCGCGCUUCGGCUAGGAUGCUGGCGUAAUGGUUGUCAGCGACCCGUCUUGAAACACGGACCAAGGAGUCUAACAUCUAUGCGAGUGUUUGGGUGUUAAACCCAUACGCGGAAUGAAAGUGAACGUAGGUGAGAACCCGCAAGGGUGCAUCAUCGACCGAUCCUGAUGUCUUCGGAUGGAUUUGAGUAAGAGCAUAGCUGUUGGGACCCGAAAGAUGGUGAACUAUGCCUGAAUAGGGUGAAGCCAGAGGAAACUCUGGUGGAGGCUCGCAGCGGUUCUGACGUGCAAAUCGAUCGUCAAAUUUGGGUAUAGGRGCGAAAGACUAWYSGAACCAUCUAKKMSSUGGUACUGCCGAUUCCCCCCAGAAAAACAACCCCGGCUACUAGAUGGUUCGAUUAGCUCUUUCGCCCCUUAUACCAUUGACGAUGAAUUGCCGUCGACGCUGCAGCUCACUGAGUUCUCUGCUCACUAUCAGCAUAGUUCGUCUCCGUCAACGCUUGCCUACCAUCUCGAGACUGGAUGUCGAUGAACUUGCGGUUCCAAUCAUGCUGCGAAGCUUACACACUCAUGAACCUGCGUUUAGCGUUCACUUACAUACACGGCU